rnacentral:lncRNA from 1 species
CCGAGAGGAACGAACCGGCGGGGUGUAUCGGCGGUUAGGGUGGAGAGAGUGGAAAAGGGAAAUUGGUUGGAGAGAUGGAGUGGAGGGUGUGUGAAAGAAAAAGAAGAGAAAGGUAGAAAAAAGGUGGAUAUUGGAGGAGGAGAUUGGAAAGGGGUACAAAAAGGAUAGGGGAUGAGGUGUGAAGAAGUUGGUAAAAUGGAAAGAAGUAGUGGAUUGAAAGAAGGGUGUAUAGAAUGAGAAAUAAAAUGAAAAAUUUGGAAAAAAGAAAGGAUGUCCGCCUCUCAGGCUUAAAUAUCGGUACAUAUCAUUCGACUCCUGGCGAAACGUCGCUUCGGGAUAUAAUUUCUGAACGGACAUCUUUUAUAUAUCGGAAGCCUCGCAUUAAAACAUAUCCCGAAACGUGCACGCAUGCUCCAAAAGUCUAGAUCCUCGAAAGAGAGAUGGAACAGGAGGAAGAUGGCAAGCAUCGACUCGAUAAAAACGCAACCGAGUUAUUUUAUUUAUCGGUUGGUCAGCAGCCAGCCUGGCUACGCCUUCGAAGUCUCGCGAGCUAUCGUUCGACACACGCGGGAACGAAAGAGGAGGAGGCGAGGAGAAGGUCCAGGCGAGGCCAGGUCCGAGUCUGUUCGGUUCUCCUCCACCGUGCAAUGGUUCGGGGAACGGCGGAAGAAUGCAUCCAUCGGUUGUGCAUCGGUGCAACAGCAACAACGGCACAAGAGACGCGCGCUUCUUACGAGACAACCCCUUUUUUCCUCGUCCCUUCUUCCUUUCUCUCGCGCACCAGACUACGCUCGUUCGUCCGCUCUUUUUCCACGCUUACAUUACAACUGCGGCACAUUUCGACAUCCGGCCACGCUUCUGAGUAACAUCAUUAUCGAUAAGAUCAAAGAAACCCGGUCUACUGGAGUUUUCAGUGGAAAGUAACCUGUCAAGUCGGUCAGUAGCGCUACAUGUUUCUACGACAAUGAAGUGUCGGACGAGUGUAACUUUAGAUGUACUCUUAAAUCCUCGAGAACGUAGAAAAGAGGCAAGUAAGAGCUUUAAUAUCAAUAAUUUUUGAUCAAAGACGGUAUAUAUAAGUUUCAUUGAAUUGUAUAAUUUUAAAAUAAAUAGAAGAAGUAUUCUACGAUCAUUGCGUGUAUUCUUUUAAAUUUUGUAAAGAAGAAUUUUUACAUUGUGCUAGAUUAUUAAAGAUUACAGCACAGUCUUAAAGGGCUCUACAUUAGGAUAUUACAAUUAACUUUAACGAACUUCAUCAUAUCUUGACCUACUUACAUCUUACCACCAGCACAACUAGAACGAUGAUUAACGAUCUCGAAUGGACUAUAAUAAUACUCCUUCUGAUACUUAAUCGCACUAUUUCUCACUCGCAACAUGUUAAAUAACCUGAAGUCUAAACGAGGUGUCUAUCUAAAGUACUAUCUGUUAGCGUAGUUACUAAUUCUACUGAUUGCGUUCACUUUCAAUUAAUGUGCGUAACUUAUAUGAUAAUUCAUUUAUUCGAACGUUCGAAAGAAAAGGAAAAAAUUCAGGUAUUUAAGUUUUCAAAUAUUUAAAACUUAAAUAUUUAAAUGUGGGAAUAUUCGAAGAUUUAAACACGCAAACAUUCGAAGAUUUCAAUAUUCAAACAUUCUAAGAGCUUUCUAAAUUUUUAGACAUUUUUAAAAAAAUUGAAAUACUCCAAGUUUUCAACAACCUCCAUCGAAAUUUUCCAAAUUGCAAAAUUUUUCCAAAUUCCUCGUCUCGACGAUCACUCAGUCGAAACGAUAAAUCAACGUAACGAGAUUUUUAUCCAAUUCAAAUUUUCAGAUAUACUUCGAAUGAUUCCAAUCAUUUGGGCCAGCUGUGCUCAAAACAGUGAUACUGUACGCGUGCGUACACGAGACACGAUAAAUCCAAUUAGGACGAGCACGAGCAGCAACGAUUAUCGGAACUGUUUAAUCUAAUGCAAAUACCGGACGAUUGCAUCUGUCAAUAAAGGUUCGAGGCCGUCUUGAGUAGCGGCAGCUUCGAGUAUACUGACAGAAGUACUCGAGCGACGACACGGCAACAAGUGGUGCUCGACGCACCGCUAGGUCAACACAUCUCGUCCACCUCUCGUACUCUCGUUCUCGUACGUCUCGUACGAGGCUUCUUUUCACCGGGCAACUUCUGUGACAUUAUACUUGGAGCACCACUUCAAUCUAUCCGUCAAACAUCGGGCCGAGGAGUACACAACGGAAAAGGCAAAUGUUGUCCGAGUUCUCUGAAGACGCUUUACCUCGAAUCAGCGAUCCGUAUCACGUUUCGAGAGAUUAAACAACACGAUUAUUGCAUCGAUGAAAAAAAAAGGAGAAGCAUGGUGGUCAGCAGAGAGCGGAGGAGAAAGGAGCCACGCUCGUUAUUUCGAGCGCCUGGGCUGCUGGAUAAUUGAUAGCGGAAUGCUAAUAACUUGGACGAGCCAUGGAUUAUAAUAAGUUUCUUGCGUAUACCGCUUCUUGCCUUCGUUCGCUGUUGUUAUAAACGUGUCACAGACGAUCAAUUUUGUCAGCUUAUCACGCCGAUUUUAAUUAAUUGGUUCAGGAAAUCUGGAUGAAUGAAAAUAAAUGAAAGGAUAGUUUUUCGUGGCAUAAUUGAUAUGCAAUAAGAUUUAAAACUUGAAUUAUAUGAUUU